GAUGAACGCUGGCGGCGUGCCUAACACAUGCAAGUCGAGCGAGAAGUUUGAAAAAUGAGUUUCCGAACAAGUGAUUCAAACGGAAAGCGGCGGACGGGUGAGUAACGCGUAGGCAACCUGCCCCGUGCAGAGGGACAGCCUCGGGAAACCGGGAUUAAGACCUCAUGAUAUCGGGUUAUCACAUGGUAAUCCGGUCAAAGAUUUAUCGGCAUGGGAUGGGCCUGCGUCUGAUUAGCUGGUUGGUGGGGUAACGGCCUACCAAGGCGACGAUCAGUAGCAGAACUGAUAGGUUCAUCUGCCACAUUGGAACUGAGACACGGUCCAAACUCCUACGGGAGGCAGCAGUGAGGAAUAUUGCACAAUGGGCGAAAGCCUGAUGCAGCAACGCCGCGUGAGCGAAGAAGGCCUUUGGGUCGUAAAGCUCUGUCCUUGGGGAAGAAACAAAUGACGGUACCCUUGGAGGAAGCCCCGGCUAACUACGUGCCAGCCGCCGCGGUAA
rnacentral:rRNA from 1 species